CAGAGUCUUUAGACAUAUCCAAUUUAUUUUUUGCAAACCUACUUUCAAAUAUCAUUGGCCGUGUUUAAUUUUGAGAUUAGGUGGGAUGGAAAAAAAGACAGACCCAGGGAGGAUUGAACCCACAAAUUCUGCACCGUAGUACAGUUGGCUAACCACUCAACCAUUCAAGUCUGCUGAUACAUAUGGAGCAAUUUUUAGGAUAAGUGAUUGUUUAACACAGUGGAAUUCUCGUAGUAGACUUUAACAGGGAGAUGGAAUUUAGACAUAUCAAAUGUAUUUUUUGCAAACCUACUUUUAAAUAUCAUUGGCCGUGUGCCCAUAGAGAAUAGUGGAAUGCCCAUAGAGAAUAAUGGUAAAAUUAAAAAUGAAUUUGUGACAGAGUCUUUAGACAUAUCCAAUUUAUUUUUUGCAAACCUACUUUCAAAUAUCAUUGGCCGUGUUUAAUUUUGAGAUUAGGUGGGAUUAUUAUUUGUUUUUUUAGGCCAUAAAAAGGUGGAUGACAGAAGGGAAUGUCUAUAGAUUAUAAUGGGAAGAAAAAUAUUCCCAUAUUCCCAAUUAGGUAUUUUUUAAAACAUUGUCCGUGUGCCCAUAGAGAAUAGUGGAAUGCCCAUAGAGAAUAAUGGUAAAAUUAAAAAUGAAUUUGCGACAGAGUCUUUAGACAUAUCCAAUUUAUUUUUUGCAAACCUACUUUCAAAUAUCAUUGGCCGUGUUUAAUUUUGAGAUUAGGUGGGAUUAUUAUUUGUUUUUUUAGGCCAUAAAAAGGUGGAUGACAGAAGGGAAUGUCUAUAGAUUAUAAUGGGAAGAAAAAUAUUCCCAUAUUCCCAAUUAGGUAUUUUUUAAAACAUUGUCCGUGUGCCCAUAGAGAAUAGUGGAAUGCCCAUAGAGAAUAAUGGUAAAAUUAAAAAUGAAUUUGCGACAGAGUCUUUAGACAUAUCCAAUUUAUUUUUUGCAAACCUACUUUCAAAUAUCAUUGGCCGUGUUUAAUUUUGAGAUUAGGUGGGAUGGAAAAAAAGACAGACCCAGGGAGGAUUGAACCCACAACUUUCUGCACCGUAGUACAGUUGGCUAACCGCUCAACCAUUCAAGUCUGCUGAUACAUAUUGAGCAAUUUUUAGGAUAAGUGAUUGUGUAACACAGUGGAAUUCUCGUAGUAGACUUUAACAGGGAGAUGGAAUUUAGACAUAUCAAAUGU